rnacentral:rRNA from 1 species
AGUGAAGGCUGGCGGUAGGCCUAACACAUGCAAGUCGAACGGCAGCACAGUAAGAGCUUGCUCUUACGGGUGGCGAGUGGCGGACGGGUGAGGAAUACAUCGGAAUCUACUUUUUCGUGGGGGAUAACGUAGGGAAACUUACGCUAAUACCGCAUACGACCUACGGGUGAAAGCAGGGGAUCUUCGGACCUUGCGCGAUUGAAUGAGCCGAUGUCGGAUUAGCUAGUUGGCGGGGUAAAGGCCCACCAAGGCGACGAUCCGUAGCUGGUCUGAGAGGAUGAUCAGCCACACUGGAACUGAGACACGGUCCAGACUCCUACGGGAGGCAGCAGUGGGGAAUAUUGGACAAAGGGCGCAAGCCUGAUCCAGCCAUACCGCGUGGGUGAAGAAGGCCUUCGGGCUGUAAAGCCCUUUUGUUGGGAAAGAAAAGCAGCAGGUUAAUACCCCGCUGUUCUGACGGUACCCAAAGAAUAAGCACCGGCUAACUUCGUG